rnacentral:rRNA from 1 species
CCCUUAGAUGUCCGGGGCUGCACGCGCGCUACACUGUAGAAAGCAGCGUGCUUUAAAACCUUUCUUGAAAAGGAUGGGUAACCCCAGCAAAAUUCUACGUGCUUGGGAUAGAGAUUUGCAAUUUUCUCUCUUGAACGAGGAAUUCCCAGUAAGUGCGAGUCAUCAGCUCGCGUUGAUUACGUCCCUGCCCUUUGUACACACCGCCCGUCGCUACUACCGAUUGGGAAAAUUUUAGAGAGUCCUGGACUGAUGAUUGUUCGGCUUCACGGCCUUACUUUCGUCGGGAAAGAAUUCGAUAAUAUUUUUCUAGAGGAAGUAAAAGUCGUAACA